AAUUUGACUCAACACGGGGAACCUCACCCGGCCCGGACACCGCGAGGAUUGACAGACUGAGAGCUCUUUCUCGAUUCGGUGGGUGGUGGUGCAUGGCCGUUCUUAGUUGGUGGAGCGAUCUGUCUGGUUAAUUCCGAUAACGGACGAGACCCCGUCCUACUAAAUAGCCCUCGGGUCCGACUUCUGUCGGGCCCGACGGAACGUUCGCUUCUUAGAGGGACUCGCGGGGUUUACCCGCAUGAAAAGGGGCGAUAA
rnacentral:rRNA from 1 species